ACACAAAACGGGAGCUUCCAAUGCGUGUGUGCGGGAUCCCACAUGGAUGGAUGCAACUCUAGAGGCUAUCUAACACGUGUGGAGGAGGUUUCCACCCAGAGUGUGAGACAUUGACAAUGAUGCUGCAACACAGCCCAUGCCUAGCACUUCACAAGGUGUCAUCAGACCGUGCCUGGAUGAUCAACAGGACAAGAUGACUAAUCCUGUGGUGGAAGAGGCUCCUUCGGACAUUUCUAGAUCGAGAGUGGAUGGCCCCGUCCAGCCACAGCUCAAAGACUUU